AUCCACCGUCGGGGGCGCCCGGCCGGGGCUGCCCGCGGGCGGCGCGUGAGGGGCUCGCGGCCGGAGGGGCGCCGCGACCCGAGCCCGGGGAGCCCGGGGAGCCCGGGGAGCCCGGGGAGCCCGGGAGCCGCGGCCGCCGCACACAAAGGCGCGGCCACGCGAGCCGCGGGAGAGCGGGAGGCGGCCCGGGGGACGCGCCCCGCCGGGGCACCGAGGCAGCGCUGCGCGCGGGCCGUGCGCCCGGGGCGCGGGGCGCGGCGCGGGGGCCCGGGCGGCGCGGCGAGUUCAGGUGCGCGGGGCGAGGCUGGGACGGCGGCGGCGGCGGCUGGCCCCGCUCCUCCUCCUCCUCCCGGGCGGACUGAGCAGAGGAGCGGCGGAGACAAGGGGCCCGGCCCCUCCCCUCCUUCCCCCCUCCUGCUCCGCCGCCGGUCCCCUCCCCGCGCCGCCGCCGCUCCGCCCCUCCCACCGCGGGCAGCUGGCGCGCCGCCCGCCCCGCCGGUGCGCUCCCCGGCCCGGCCCGCCCCCGGGCGCGCCGACCCCGCCCCGGCCCGCCCCGGCCCGCCCCGCCCCGCCGCGGCCCCUGCCCCGCGCCCCGCGCCCCGCGCCCCGCGCCCCGCGCAGCCCGGCAGCGCCCGUCGCGCGCGCCGCGGCUCCCCCUCCCGGGCCCCUCUGCUCCCCACCUCGCCCCCCUCCCUCCCUCCCGGUCCUCUUUGUCCCCGAUGCCUCGGAGCGCUCCUCGCUCCCUUCCAAGCCUCGGCCGCCGGCCCGGUGCCCGGUGUGGCCCUCCCAGCCCCCCUGCCGCGCCCCGCGGCGCCCGGCCCCCGGCUCCCGUCGCGGCGUCCCCUCGCCGUCCGCUCCCUUGCCGCCCCUCGCCCCGUUUGUCCCUCGUGGGGCCGGCCCCCGGCCCGCCUGCCCUCCGCCGCCCUCCCAGCGCGAAUGGCCCCUGCUCGGCGGCACCUCCCCGGCAGCCAGCCCGCGGGAGGGCCUCCCGGGGGCCGGGGCCGGGCCCCCAGGUACACCUGUGGUGUUCUCCAGGAGGGGUGUUGGGGCCUGACCUUUCACAGUGAAAAGAAAAGAAGGAAGGGAGGAGAGAAAACAAGAAAAGAACUCAGGACGGUGGUUUCCAAAUUUGUAAAGCAGGAUGAGGCACACGAGACGUUCUCAACAAAUGACGGUGAUGGUUGGGAGAGCAGUGGUCUCCAGAGCUUCCAGAGUCUCAGCGGAGAGCUGUGAGAGGCGGUGCAGCCCGGCACCCCAAAGGGUAGGUUCUGGCGCCAGCCUGCCUGAGUUUGAAUAUCCUGAAUCCACCAGGUCAACGAGGUACUUGACACUCUAGUGUGUCUGUCCUCAUCCAUGAGGUGUAGAUAACAGUACCUACCUUGUGGGUUUGUUGUGAAGAUUGGCAGAGCUGACCCUGUGAGGGGCUUGGCAUUCCAUGCACCAUGAGUGCUGAAUGGGUGAUACCUGUUAUUGCCCAGACCGAUGCGUGGGCUCAGCCUUUGUCACUAGAGGCAAAGUAUUGCCCCUCAUGUGUGGGGGAUACGUUCCAAGCCCCUCAGUGUUUGCCUGAAACUGAGGAUAGUACCAAACUGUGUAUAUUUUAUGUUUUUUCCUCUCCAUCCAUGGCUACACCAAAGUGUAGUUUAUCAAUCAGGCACAACAAGAGGUCAACAACAAUGAUAAGAAGAUAGAGUAGGGGUGUCUGGGGGUCUCAGUGGUUGAGCAUCUGCCUUCAGCUCAGGUUGGGGUCCUGGGAUCGAGUCCCACCUCUGGUUCCCCACAGGGAGCCUGCUUCUCCCUCUGCCUGUGUCUCUGCGUCUCUGUUUCUCAUGAAUAAAUAAAUAAAAUCUUAAUUUUUUAAAAAAAGAAGAUAGAGUAAUUGUAACACUAUGCUGUAAUUAAAAGUGAUGUGAUGUGGUCUCUCUCUCAAAAUAUCUUAUGCUGACCUCACCCUUCUUCAUCUUGAGAUAUGACACGAUGAGACGCCUACAUGAUGAGGUGGAGUGAGGGGAAUUGUAGGCAUCCUGACAUCAUGCAUCUUGGACCUUCUGAAUAUGUGUCAAAAGGAGCAAUAUCUGUUUUUUUUUUUUUUAAGAUUUUUAUUCAUUCAUGAGAGACACACAGAGAGAGAGAGGCAGAGACACAGGCAGAGGGAGAAGCAGGCUUCAUGCCGGGAGCCCGAUGCAGGACUUGAUCCCGGGUCUCCAGGAUUAGGCCCUGGGCCAAAGGCUGCGCUUACCCGCUGGGCCACCUGGGCUGCCUACAACAUCUGUUUCUGAACGGCGAUUGACCACAGGUAACUGAAACCUCAGGAAGCGAGUACAGGAAAGUGUGUGUGUGGGGGGACUUUUGUACAAUCUAGAAAAAGACAGAACCCCCUGAGCUACUGCCCAGGGAAGUGAAGCACAUUCGCUCAGGCUUUAGCCUUGUGGCUCACGUGCUUCCCAAUGGCCCACCUUCCAACAUCUUCUGUGCCUCACCCAGGGUCCUUCUCUGGCAUCCAGGGUCUGUUCUGCCCACGUGUUCAGCAGGGCACACGUCUCAGAGAAAAAAGGCCUCCCCCGCUGCCACCGCCCAAGGAAUAGCUCCCAACCAGUGAUUGACGAGAACACCGGGCCGGCUCCCCAGGAUAACUCUGCAGUGCACGUUCUGGAGCAGCUCUGGGCAAUCCCCAAGAGGAGGGAGCCCUGGUGCCCACUGGCUUGAUGACACAGCAUUCAUUGAUUGCCUUUCCACCCUGUCCCCAUUCCCCCCUUGAGGUUCCCUGGGAUCGUCUCCAAAGAAGUUACUUGCACUUGAAUCCUAUUCCCAGGAACCAAAUUGUGACAGAUACAAACCGAAGAGCCCAGCUGAAUACCCCAAAGUGCUAUGAUGUCUGUACAGGCUGCAGGUGCCAAGAAUCCAUGGGUGACACCCGGAGACAGGCCUUUCGCCCUGGCUUCCCACAGUGGGAAACUGUUAUUCCUCUGGCUACUGGAGAUCUGCACUCCACGAAUCCGCCCACAGGUCCUCUUCUGGGAGCUUCCUUGGCAAUGUCCCUGGAGGCCGGGAGCCACGGUGGGCUGAUGCAAGAAGCCAGGAUGGUGUCUCUAGGCUGCUCCACGUCAACACGAGCAACUGAACAAGAAGAAGCACACUCCAUGCAGGCAAAUUGGAGCUUUCCCUCCAUUCUUUUGCUCCUUCUUUAUAAUAGGGUGUAAAAAUGGAAAAAUAUGUCAGCCUUUGGCCCCUUCCCAGUAAAAAGAUAAAAAUGUUUUAAAAGAUCGUAAUUAAAAAAAAUAAAUAAAUGAUCGUAAUAAUUAGAACAGUAAACUGAGCUGAGAGAAGUCUGUCUCAUGCAAAUGAAAGACUAUUAGAUGCCCUCCUGGACCAGAUAAGGAGUUGGUGGGGUGGAAGGGAGGAUUUAGAAGUGCUGCUUCGGCACAAUUGGCGUGCGAAUAAGUCAAGUUCUAGCGCAAUUUUCCAUGCAAAAUAAAAACACAGAAGGAGAAGGGGAGGCGGGGAACCCGCACGAGACCCUCAGAGUCAGCACUGACCCUCAAGCAUUCACUGGAGAAAAUGAAUGUAUUAUGGAGACAAAUGUGCCUUCUCCCAGAAAGUCACUCCACACCAGACAAACACACCAUCGGUUUGACCCUUCCUUUGCACACUGGCCCAGAGUUUGAACAUAUAACAGAAGACCAGAAUGUGGGAGAGGGUGGUACCCAGGCCCUAGAAAAAUCAAGGAGAUUAAAGAGCAGCUUUCCUUCAAAGAAAUUUAAAUUUUGUAACAAAUCGGGGCCUGGACAGUUUGGAGGAGCACACAGAACACUCAGAACCCCCUCCUGAGGCUCUUCCAAAACCAACACGGUCAUUUCCAACCACUCACAGGUGUUUUUCCUCCCAAAACAAACACAGAAACAAAUAUUUACAGAGUUAUGAAAAUUCAACAGAAGUCACCUGGACUCAGAGCUUCCCCCACCUGUGCUCAAGAUCUCUGGCCCUGGGAUUAUUAGCCAGAAUGUUACACCUAGUUUCCAUGGUGGGACAGGAAACCCUGGGGCCCCGAGAGAAUUUGUUCCCAGAAUGUAUUCAUAAGAAUAAAUGCUGUCUCUUCUCAAGAAAGUGUUUGCAGCUCCGAGGGAAGAAUAGCUUUCAGACAAAGGAAACGUCAGUGGCUUUCCCCCCUACAUCUGCCAAAAUUUGCAACACGGCCCUUGAAGAGCGCAUGACCAUGUUGUGAAUCGAUCCAUCAUGUUCAUCAACAGCCCUGAGUGCGGUGCUGGCUGUUGUGUCGCUGACCACCUUGAAUAAUUUUUCAUUGGGCUGUUUCUGGGAAAGGCCCCCUGUUGGCUUUUCCUGAAUGUCCCAGAUGUGAACCAGAUCUCAAAAUUAGGAAAUGCGGCUGGGGAGGGGUUUCUGUCCACACUGCUAUGUCACCCUUUGGCCUUCUUUGGUGGAUCUAGAAGGACCAGGUAAGCAAAGGAUGUGGAUGUGAUAUGGGGGGAGGGAGGAAAGGAAAAGACAGGAAGGGAAGGAGAAAUGAAAUAAGUGUGGGAACGGGGAGGAGGCCAAGAAGAGAGGAAGGAGCAGGAAGGGAGAGAAUGGAAAGGGGAAAAGAGGGAGAGAGGCGGGAAGGGAGAAAAAGAGAAUGAGAGAGACCCAGAGACAGAGAGAGAGAGACAGACGUAGAUCUGCUGCUGUCAGACCCUCACUGGUUUCUACCAAGGAGCCAGAUAGCCGCUCAGUGAAAAGCUGAGAUUAAGCUCACAACAUAAUUUCCAUUAUGUUAAUGUUGCUUUAAAAUAUAUUGCACAGAGUGCUGCAACAAUCAAAUUAUCAAUUAUAAUGUCUACUCAGAGUAGAAAAGUGUUGCAAACAGAGGGCUGAUUACUGCUUCAGUACAUCCAAUCUGCAUACUCAUUGUUCAGUACAGGGAAAACAAAUUAUCUUGUGUUGGCCCCAGUUCAAAUUUAAUUAAAUGAGUGCAAAGCAAUUAUAAUAAAGUACAAUAGUGUAGUAAUGAAAGGAAAAUAACUCAUUAACCUAUUAAUCUUUAUUUAUGUUCCUCUCAAAUAACUAUGUAAUUUCUUUAUCACCGCAUCCCAUAAGAAGAAAUAGGGUCUCACUGCUUGUGGCCUGGUUUAACAGGUUCUAUUUGGUGAAGAUGCCUAUGCGCCGACCAUGCAUACCAACUUUCCCUAGCUUUGGGGCCACCUCCCAACCCUUCCAUUAAGCUUCCUGCCCACAUAUAAUGGACAUGGUCUAGACUGAGUGCUUCUCUUCUGGUUGAGGGAGAGCCUGGUGCUUUGAGUCUGAAGAGCUACCAAUAACUCACUCUUCACAGCACUUUCCAUUUGACAAUGUUUUUCGCAUAUAUGGUCUCACUUAAGUCUUGUGACAACAGUGGCAU
rnacentral:lncRNA from 1 species